rnacentral:misc_RNA from 1 species
GUGAAUCAUCAAAUUUUUGAACGCAAAUUGCGCUUCCUGGCAUCCCGGGGAGUAUGCCUGUUUGAGGGUCAUUAUUAGUAAAAAAGCGGUUUAGUUACAAAUUGUGACGGUGCCGGAGUUUGGGCUAUCUUAACAUUUUUAUUUAAGAGGCUGAAAAUUUACCUUUUUUGCGCAUUUUUAAACGUACAUAAAUUUUUUUUAUUCGUCUAUUCGUAAUGCCAAAAUCUUAGUAGUCGCGUU